CUACGUGCCAGCAGCCGCGGUAAUACGUAGGUCCCGAGCGCUGUCCGGAUUUAUUGGGCGUAAAGCGAGCGCAGGCGGUUUGAUAAGUCUGAAGUUAAAGGCUGUGGCUCAACCAUAGUUCGCUUUGGAAACUGUCAAACUUGAGUGCAGAAAGGGAGAGUGGAAUUCCAUGUGUAGCGGUGAAAUGCGUAGAUAUAUGGAGGAACACCGGUGGCGAAAGCGGCUCUCUGGUCUGUAACUGACGCUGAGGCUCGAAAGCGUGGGGAGCGAACAGGAUUAGAUACCCUGGUAGUCCACGCCGUAAACGAUGAGUGCUAGGUGUUGGAUCCUUUCCGGGAUUCAGUGCCGCAGCUAACGCAUUAAGCACUCCGCCUGGGGAGUACGACCGCAAGGUUGAAACUCAAAGGAAUUGACGGGGGCCCGCACAAGCGGUGGAGCAUGUGGUUUAAUUCGAAGCAACGCGAAGAACCUUACCAGGUCUUGACAUCCCGAUGCUAUUUCUAGAGAUAGAAAGUUA
rnacentral:rRNA from 1 species